UACGUAGGGCGCAAGCGUUAUCCGGAAUUAUUGGGCGUAAAGAGCUCGUAGGCGGUUUGUCGCGUCUGCCGUGAAAGUCCGGGGCUCAACUCCGGAUCUGCGGUGGGUACGGGCAGACUAGAGUGAUGUAGGGGAGACUGGAAUUCCUGGUGUAGCGGUGAAAUGCGCAGAUAUCAGGAGGAACACCGGUGGCGAAGGCAGGUCUCUGGGCAUUAACUGACGCUGAGGAGCGAAAGCAUGGGGAGCGAACAGG
rnacentral:rRNA from 1 species